AUUAUGAGAGUUUUGUGUCAGUUGAACUCUGGCUAUUUGAGCUAAUAGGAAUUUUUAUUGAUCAAGCCAUGUGGAAGGAGUUGAAUGAAACUGAAGGACUUAGUGUAAUUACUCGAAUGAAUUUCAACAAAAUUGUAACAAGUUUUUCCUAAAAAGUAAGUUGGUUCUUGACAAGUUAGUUCAUAAUAGUGUCAUGAAUUUCAACAAAAUUGUGACAAGUUUGUUCCUAACAGGUAAGUUGGUUCUUGACAAGUUAGUUCAUAAUAGUGUGGCAGGUCCAAAAGAAGUAGUUGC
rnacentral:lncRNA from 1 species